GACAAAAUAAGCUAAUUUAAGCUAUUGGGCUCAUAAUCCAAUUAUGAGGACCUCUCUCUUUUGUUA
rnacentral:tRNA from 1 species